UUUGAAUCCUACUAAUAUCUUCCUCAAACCAAGAAAAUCCACUGAAGGUUAUUUUCAUGUGAAAGUCUCAGGAUUUGGUUUAACUUCCAUAGAAAAUAAUCCUUCUCGACACGCAUCAUCGAACCAAAGUGCAUUCGACCCUGGUAUUUGGCAUGCACCAGAAGUGCUGGCAGAAAAUGAACGGACAGGAACUAGCCCCAUUCGCAAGUACUCAGAGAAAGCUGAUGUUUACAGCUUUGGGAUGCUUUUUUUCCAGCUUUUGACAGGUAAACUUCCCUUUGAGGAUGGGCAUCUUCAAGGAGACCAAAUGACCAAAAACAUAAGAGCUGGGGAGAGGCCAUUAUUCCCAUCCCUGUCACCAAAAUUUCUUGUGAACUUGACCAAAAAAUGCUGGCAUAAUGACCCAAAUUAUAGACCAAGUUUCUCAUCUAUUUGUAGGGUUCUGAGAUACAUCAAGAAGUUCCUUGCGAUGAAGCCCAGCGAUGGUCAGCCUGUUAUGCAGUCACCACCUGUAGAUUACUCUGAAUUGGAGACAUGGUUUUUAAAGAAGCAUUCAGAGGAGGUGAACUGUGGUCUAGCCUCUGUUUCACAAAUUCCAUUCCAAAUGUUUGUUUACAGGCUUAUGGAGAAAGAAAAGACUUCUUUGGGUAUUAGAUUUAAGCAUUCAGAAACAAGUGAAGGUACCUCAAAUGGCNNNNNNNNNNNNGAGAAUACUUCUGUAGCGGAGGAUCCAAUUGCACCAGCAAUUGAUGCAAGAUCAGUUGGCUCUGACACGAAAACAGUUUGUUUUGAUAUGAGAUCUAUCUGCACCGAGCAGGAUCCAGACAGGAAAAUACCAUCUGAUUUGAUGUCCAUUCGUUCUGAGCCUGUUGAGAAGAAAAUUGUGCUGCGAAAGAAAAUUACCAACGUCAAGGUCAGAAAAACUCCAGGUAAGCCAAAGGAACCAGCACCAACAAAAACAUCUCCAUGGAGUCCGCCAGGCCAUACUGCUAAGUUUAGCCGAGACAAACCAUUGUCUACGAGCUCUUUUAGUCCAAGCAAGCACAGAUCAAAUGGACAAGCCCUAGCUUUUGAGAAAUCCUAGCUUUUAGCCAUAAGUCACCUCACCUUGCUCAAGAGUUGAUAUGCCUAUAUCACCUUUUGUUUUCCGUGGAAUCAUUGUAGUUUGCUUGUGUUAGAAGAAUACAGUUUUCUCCAUUUCUUAAUGGUCAAAAUUUGUUUAGGACCGUCGUCCAAGUUGUCUAUGAAAUAUUGAUGCUUCACAUAAUACAGGUUUCAAUAUUUUGCCUUAAAAAAAAAAA
rnacentral:misc_RNA from 1 species